rnacentral:rRNA from 1 species
GGGUGAUCGGCCACACUGGAACUGAGACACGGUCCAGACUCCUACGGGAGGCAGCAGUAGGGAAUCUUCCGCAAUGGGCGAAAGCCUGACGGAGCAACGCCGCGUGAGUGAUGAAGGUCUUCGGAUCGUAAAACUCUGUUAUUAGGGAAGAACAUAUGUGUAAGUAACUGUGCACAUCUUGACGGUACCUAAUCAGAAAGCCACGGCUAACUACGUGCCAGCAGCCGCGGUAAUACGUAGGUGGCAAGCGUUAUCCGGAAUUAUUGGGCGUAAAGCGCGCGUAGGCGGUUUUUUAAGUCUGAUGUGAAAGCCCACGGCUCAACCGUGGAGGGUCAUUGGAAACUGGAAAACUUGAGUGCAGAAGAGGAAAGUGGAAUUCCAUGUGUAGCGGUGAAAUGCGCAGAGAUAUGGAGGAACACCAGUGGCGAAGGCGACUUUCUGGUCUGUAACUGACGCUGAUGUGCGAAAGCGUGGGGAUCAA